rnacentral:rRNA from 1 species
GGUGGGCCCGCGACCUAUCAGCUUGUCGGUGGGGUAACGGCCUACCGAGGCUCUGACGGGUAGCUGGUCUGAGAGGACGACCAGCCACACGGGGACUGAGACACGGCCCCGACUCCUACGGGAGGCAGCAGUAAGGAAUCUUCCGCAAUGGGCGAAAGCCUGACGGAGCGACGCCGCGUGUGGGAUGAAGUCUCUCGGGAUGUAAACCACUGUCGGAGGGGAAGAGAAUGGACGGUACCCUCCAAGAAAGCCCCGGCUAACUACGUGCCAGCAGCCGCGGUAAUACGUAGGGGGCAAGCGUUACUCGGAUUCACUGGGCGUAAAGCGCGUGUAGGCGGCUGGUCAAGCGUGAUGUGAAAUCUCCGGGCUUAGCCCGGAAACUGCAUCGCGAACUGGCCUGGCUGGAGUGCAGGAGAGGGAUGUGGAAUUCCCGGUGUAGCGGUGAAAUGCGUAGAUAUCGGGAGG